GAUCGAACGGCGUGGCGGCACGCUUAACACAUGCAAGUCGAGGCGAAGGGAAGGUGCUUGCACCUUGAACUUAGCGGCGGACGGGUGAGUAACACGUGGGUAACCUACCUCAUACAGGGGGAUAACGUAUAGAAAUGUACGCUAAUACCGCAUAAGCCUACAGAAUGGCAUCAUUCAGUAGGAAAAACUCCGGUGGUAUGAGAUGGGCCCGCGACUGAUUAGCUAGUUGGAGAGGUAACGGCUCACCAAGGCGACGAUCAGUAGCCGGUCUGAGAGGAUGGACGGCCACAUUGGGACUGAGACACGGCCCAG
rnacentral:rRNA from 1 species